rnacentral:lncRNA from 1 species
GAACUACUCUCACCUGUUAAGGUUGGGACAACAAUACUAAAUUGUUAAAGAAAAUUAAAAAUGUGCCUAGAUUUAAGGGGAGAAAAGAUCAUUAUAAUAAAGUGCUUUAAGAAUUAAUUGAGUUUCAGUGCCUUGAAAGCACAUGCCAUAAAUAUGGAUGGGAUUUGACUCUAAGGAUGUGUAAGGAAAAUGGCUGCGUGGCAAUUAAGAGUAGGCCAAGGUAAACAUCUGGUGCAGCAUGACACAGUGGGAUUGGAGCACAGGUGCACAAUCCCAUGCUUUAUAUAAUCACAGUUAUGUAACCAUGUUAUGGGUAGGCUCAUCACCUGGCUCUGAGCUACCAUCGUCUGUGAAGUGCAUAAACGUAUCACCGACACUAUGAGAGCAGCGGUGCAUAAUAAAGCCAUGUCCCACCUGCCUACAGACCCCUGAGUGUUCUUUCAACUACCCCCCCACCUGUCCACCAACUCCCCUCAAACCCCAGCUUGGGUUGGAACCUGACAAUUGGCUCAGGAUACCAAGAUUUAGAAUUGGCAGCACCCCUUUUGCAACAACCUUUGGCAGCAUGCAGUUGGGCCAUCAAUGAAUCCAAGGUGCAAGGGCCUGGAUUAUCUGCCACAUUCCUAGGAGUUAUCUGGCUGGGUAAGACAAAAGCCAUACCGGAGGCCAUCAUAGACAAAAUUCAGGUAUAUCCCUGGCCCACCAAGAUAAGGCAGCUGCAGACCUUUGUGGGCCUCCUAGGAUAUUGGUGGACAUCCGUGCACCAUUUAGCUCAAAUGAUAAAACCACUGUACCGGUUGACAGAAAAGGAGGCUACCUGGGAUUGGGAUGAUGACAUCCCAAUGAGACAGCCUUUCUGGCAGCCAAGCAGGCUAUUCAUCAAGCACAGGCCCUGCAACUGAUUGACCAGGGGCACCCAUUUGAACUCGAUGUGCAUGGGACAACAGAUGGCUUUAGCUGGAGCCUAUGGCAGUGCAUGGAGCACUUUAGAACACCAGUAGGCUUUUGCUCCCAACUUUGGAAGGGAGACAAGCUCUGGUAUUCAUUGAUAGAGAAGCAAUUAGCAGCUAUAUAUGCUGCCCUUCAGCCUUGUGAGAGUUUGACAGAAAAGGCUACAGUCAUCGUGCAGAUGACUUACCCAAUAGUGGGGUGGAUAUGUUCAUGGGUGAAACCCUCCAGACUGGGAUGGCUCAGACAUCCACUUUAGUAAAGUGGGAUGCCUACUUAGAACAGCAGAGUACCAU